AGUGAACGCUGGCGGUAGGCCUAACACAUGCAAGUCGAACGGCAGCACAGUAAGAGCUUGCUCUUACGGGUGGCGAGUGGCGGACGGGUGAGGAAUACAUCGGAAUCUACUUUUUCGUGGGGGAUAACGUAGGGAAACUUACGCUAAUACCGCAUACGACCUACGGGUGAAAGCAGGGGAUCUUCGGACCUUGCGCGAUUGAAUGAGCCGAUGUCGGAUUAGCUAGUUGGCGGGGUAAAGGCCCACCAAGGCGACGAUCCGUAGCUGGUCUGAGAGGAUGAUCAGCCACGCUGGAACUGAGACACGGUCCAGACUCCUACGGGAGGCAGCAGUGGGGAAUAUUGGACAAUGGGCGCAAGCCUGAUCCAGCCAUACCGCGUGGGUGAAGAAGGCCUUCGGGUUGUAAAGCCCUUUUGUUUGGAAAGAAAAGCAGCAGGUUAAUACCCCGCUGUUCUGACGGUACCCAAAGAAUAAGCACCGGCUAACUUCGUG
rnacentral:rRNA from 1 species